rnacentral:tRNA from 1 species
AGCUCAGCAGGUAGAGCACAUCCCUUUUAAGGAUGGGGUCCUGGGUUCGAGCCCCAGCUGAGUCACAAACA